GCUGAGAAAACGUAAAGGCGCUGCCUGCAGCUGUAUGGCUCUACGUAGGCACCUGUGGGUUUCAGUAUGUUUAAUGCACAGACUGCAGUAUAAGGCUAUCACUGACAUUUGCUGACUCUAGAAUACUCCUCUGUCUGCUGCCCUGCCAGCUUCUGCGCCAUCCAUGAAACAGGCAAAAUGGUGCAGCAUGUUUGAAGCUUCCUUAGGAAACAAUAACCAUCAGUAUGCAGCAGAGAUGGAGGAAGCGAGGAGCCACAAGAUCGAAGGCAGGCAAGCAUAGAUUAUUGUCCGAGUCAUUCUGGACAAGGUGGCAGUUGUGCAGAGAACGAUUGCGCUUUUGAACCAGAGUAUGCUAUCCCAACACUCACAGUGCCUGAAGGUAUCCAGCACAUUCGAAUUAUGGAAGGCAUGUCCCGCUCUCUCCCAUCUUCCCCAUUACUAACACAUCAAUCUAUCAGUGUUCGACUCCAGCCUAUGAAGAAAUUGACUGGUAAGGAAUUUAAAUUAAUAAAUUCCAAUUGUUGAAUAAAGAUUCUCAUCCUCAAUUCCCCCCUCCCAAAGCUGCACUGAUGAUUGCCUGAUUUCUGUAGCUUAAAUUAACUAGAGUUAUAUUGCACUUGUCUUGUAUCUGUUUUACUUCUGUCAAUAAAAAAGUUGAACAAAAUAGCUAUUAUAAUGUAUUGCUGAAUGCCCAGUCAGUGAAUGAUCAUGAUUCUGAUUUGAUAUGCAUGACACAGUUUUGCCCACCUAAGUACUUCCUACAAUAAUAGUUAAGACCUGAAGGAGCUGUGUUCAUGGUUCUAAAACCAGGUGUGUACAUCACCUUGCUAUCUUUGUGACUUGAAUGUUCACAUGUGAAGGGACAGAAUGGGGAUUCCAAAUCCCUUUCCUACAAUGCAGUUUUCAGGGUUUAUUCUUUGGAGUGACAUCUUGUAUUUGGAAAGCUCAGAAUUUCAGGAUAUCCAUAGUAACCAUGAUGCUAUUCCUAUUUAGAUGUGAUGCCAGUCAUUUAGCAGGGCAUAAAGUAAUUCUAAACAACAGAUAAAAUUUUGAGUGAAUUUAAA